GAUGAACGCUAGCGGCAGGCCUAACACAUGCAAGUCGAGGGAGAAGCCCUUUCGGGGGCAGAAACCGGCGCACGGGUGCGUAACGCGUAUGCAACCUACCUUUCACAGGGGGAUAGCCCGAAGAAAUUUGGAUUAAUACCCCAUAAUAUUAUUGGAUGGCAUCAUUUGAUAAUUAAAACUGCGGUGGUGAAAGAUGGGCAUGCGUCCUAUUAGCUAGUUGGAGUGGUAACGGCACCCCAAGGCUACGAUAGGUAGGGGUCCUGAGAGGGAGAUCCCCCACACUGGUACUGAGACAGGGACCAGACUCCUACGGGAGGCAGCAGUGAGGAACAUUGGUCAAUGGUCGGAAGACUGAACCAGCCAUGCCGCGUGCAGGAAGAAUGCCUUAUGGGUUGUAAACUGCUUUUAUAUGGGAAGAAUAAGGCGUACGUGUACGUUGAUGACGGUACCAUAUGAAUAAGCAUCGGCUAACUCCGUG
rnacentral:rRNA from 1 species